rnacentral:piRNA from 1 species
UCCUCAUUUUCAGGUAGGAUACCUAGGA